GAUGAACGCUGGCGGCGUGCUUAACACAUGCAAGUCGAACGAUGAAAGCGGGAGCUUGCUCCUGCUGGAUUAGUGGCGAACGGGUGAGUAACACGUGAGCAAUCUGCCCCGAACUCUGGGAUAAGCGUUGGAAACGACGUCUAAUACCGGAUACGACACGCGAAGGCAUCUUCUGCGCGUGGAAAGAAUUUCGGUUCGGGAUGAGCUCGCGGCCUAUCAGCUAGUUGGUGAGGUAACGGCUCACCAAGGCGACGACGGGUAGCCGGCCUGAGAGGGUGACCGGCCACACUGGGACUGAGACACGGCCCAGACUCCUACGGGAGGCAGCAGUGGGGAAUAUUGCACAAUGGGCGAAAGCCUGAUGCAGCAACGCCGCGUGAGGGACGACGGCCUUCGGGUGUAAACCUCUUUUAGUAGGGAAGAAGCGAAAGUGACGGUACCUGCAGAAAAAGCACCGGCUAACUACGUGCCAGCCGCCGCCGUAACAC
rnacentral:rRNA from 1 species